CUCCCGGCUCCGCACAGCUGCGCCCACGCGGCCGCCCACCUGUGACCACAGCCCGCGGCGACCCCAGCGCUAUGAGAGGAUAUGCCUCACUAAAAGGAGGGUGUGAACCAACACCAAGCAAGCAGAAAACAUGGGCUAUAGGAAACAGGAGACAGGCAACAGGAAUCCCCAGGAUGAUGGCUGUGUGUCCGCAGACAGGGCCAUCAGACCUGACCAGAGCCAGUCAGAGGCUCCACUGAUAGACUGCCUAAGGUUAAGAGCUACCUGUAAUAUCGCCUUUGGCAUCUAAGCCCACAUCUCCAGAACGCUGAGAAGAAAGCUUAGGAACUGUGUCUGCUGUUCGGUUGAAUGUUCGCCUUCUCCUUCGUAGGCCGCUAAGCUUCCCAGG